GAGAAACAACCAGUGGAAAAAAAAAAAAAAUAAAAAAAAUCCCCAGAUCUAAACUGCUUAGCUCUCGUCUUUGUCAGAUCUGAAAACUUCCAAUCAGAAUUGGCUCGUGGGUUGGAGCUGAGUGGAAAACGAUUCCUCUGGGUGGCGAGACCUCCCAGAGCCGAUGGUGCUUCGGGAAGAUUCUUCGAAGCUGGUGUUGAUGGUGCCCUUACGGCGUCGUAUCUACCGGAUGGGUUUUCGGAGAGGACACGAGGGGCAGGGCUGGUGACGGCGAUGUGUACGGCCGACUUGCCCUAUUUUACUUGUGUGUGGGUGAUGAUGAAUAAACUGACUAGGAGAUUAUGUAUACACAAGUGAAACUGUUACACUUUGGGGGAUAUGCUCUCCUGAGAAACUCUAGCAGUCUGUUUCAUUCUUUGGGGGAUAUGCAGUCCUACUUUGUUGAAUGGUCUUCAAUGGGUUAUAAUAAUAAUGUGCUUCAAGGAAGCACCUUAAGUGGCUCAACAUCAACAAAUACAGAUGACAGACCUUACAUUUACAAUCCAAUGAAAAAAGGGAUAAGGGAAGUUUGGCAGGAUUGAUGGAAAGCUAUUUGAUGUAUACACAAGUGAAACUGUUAUUGAUGGAAAGCCCCUUCUGGUUAUGUGGGUAGUUUUCAUCUGCAUGUAAUGUGUGACGUUAAAUGUUAAAAAAAGGUUGAUGUUGUUAUAAUUGAUCAA